GCAACCAUGGUGAAGUCGGUUAUCACGUGUGCCUCACAUGCACAAGGUCCCCAGUUCGAUCCUGGGUGGUUGCA